rnacentral:lncRNA from 1 species
AAAUCGUCCUUAUCACUCCGAAACGUUUACAUGCUAGUUCUAAUAUCGUAGUCGUACGUUUAGAAUCCUAAACACAUAAGGUUUCCAGAUCCGGUCGGCAACAGACCAUAGAUCCGAACAAUUAACAGCAUAUUAUGCACAAAGCAUUUAGCACAUAAAAGCAUUUUAGGCACAAUUCCUAAAAUAAGCUAGUGCUCACACCUCACAAUCAUCGCUUAGCAUUCUAAGUUUAAGUCUAGAAAUCCUACAAAUUCCUAGUUCGCUUAAACUAAUGCUCUGAUACCAACUGUGACAUCCCCAAAAUCACGGCCAGAAAAGACCGGUUUGUUUAUGCUUUGUUUAAAAAUCAGAGUUACAUUUUAAAUGAAAGUGUUGCGGAAUUUGUCCCAAAACAAAAAUAUGAUAAAGAUUUAUCAAAAGCAUUUCCAUAGAAAUGUAUUUCAUUAAAAGACUCGGGAUGUCAUGUUCGUACAGAUCAAAAGCAUAAACAGUACAAUAUAAGCCUUACUACAUUAUUUCAUAUCUACAGGCCUAUAUCCGUAAUCCCUCGUCCAAAACAUCACACCUAUGCUCAUGCGCCACUACCUGUAAUACAUAAAACUGAGUGGGUCAGGCUUGGGAGCCUGGUGAGCACAUAGGGUUUUCAACCCACAAUAAAUAAGUUUAUUAAUUUCAUCGAUCAACAAUAACCCGAUUACCCGUUCCCGUUAUCCUCACUUUACGUCCCUAAACACCUAUCAUAAGGGACCUAGCCUAAGGAUCAUCAUCGGGACGGACACUACUGCUAAGGGGAUUCCUCAGCAAUAAAUGUCCUAAAGGCAACCAUGUGGGGGAUGGAGUACACCGGUGAACAUAUCGUUCACAAACACCUACAGGUUGCGAGCCUGCUAGUGUUCCACUGGACUGUCUAGAAGAGUCCGUGGUCGUCAUCCAUACUCCGCUAGAUGACAGAAUCAACAACAUCAACAUCGAGGCCUCUCAUCAUUUUAUCACACAUCACCUAUUGCAUCUACCCAUGUUUUACCCCAACAUUUUCGUAGAUAUAAAAUACAUAUACAGUUUAAAUCAUUGAAAACAUGUAUAACAACGUUCAUCUAGCAUAGAUAGCAAGUAUUCAGAUAAUAUGCACACAUAGCACGUAAUUUAUAUAAAAUACUUCAUAUCUAUGUGUAAGUUGAAAGUAACUAUGCACUCACUUGUUAAGGUGAUGAUUCCAAAAUCGGGCAGCGCUUGCUUCUAACGAUUCUAUUUUCCUUCGACGAAACCUAGCAUUAUUAUCGCUAAAUUUUAGUCUAAUAUUUACCGUGACCAACUAUUAGUCUUAGUAUUAUUAUUAUUAUAUAAGCGUUAAACAAUAUUUUCCAACCACUAUGUACAGACAGGGGCCAGACAUAAAACACCGGAGGGCAGGACCAUUUUGGCAUAUAGCACUUCUGAAAUCCAACAACCCUAUGCGGCCCUUUAAACCAGAUUCCCCGUACCGCGAGUAGUUAAAAAAAAUAUUAUAACGACACUUAUAUAAGUUAUAAUAAUAGCUCAAAUAUUUAUUAUAAGUUCAUAAUAACAAUACUAAUUUUAAAUAUAAGCUAUAUUAAAAUAAGGUAAGCAUAACUUACUUACAAGGGGGUUUUAGCUAGGAGUCGGGCUCUGCAGGGGCAGAACUUCGUCGCUGAAUCUUUCUAAGAAAGAUUCGUGCAGCGCUUCAGCGCUCACCUUACUAUACUAAGCUACAGAAAGAGAAGUCGAAUCACGAGGGACCGAAAUGCUCGGGGGAUAAGGAGAGAAAGACUCUUGAAUCAAGAGAAUGGUGCAAGAAAUAUGAGAGCCCAAGGCUCUUAUUUAUACUAAUUGAAUUUUCAAAAACUACCCUCCAUAAUUACUUAAUGACCUUUUAGUUAUAUAAACAACUAAACACCCCUCUAUAAUACUAUUAUAAAUGGAUUUAAUGAUAUUUGUACUAAACUAAUGUCGAAAGAACUCAACAUUAGUCUUAUAAUGACCGCAUCGUCGAUACCUUUCUAAUGAUAUAUACAUAUGUAUAUAUAUGUGUACGUAUACAUGAUUUAUACUUUAUUUUAAUACGUAAAUAUGCUAUUAUAAUUUGUAACUCGUUCAUACGAACUCCGUUUUUGACGUUCUUUAUAUCCACGCGUAGGUGAAGACGUACUCUACAACUUUCGUUUAGACUCCGUCGGCUAAUUUUGACUUUAUUUUUAAAGUUAUAUUUUUAACAAGCCGGGACAGGAUUGGUCUGUUUAAAAUCUCAUAACUUCUUCAUACGAAGUCAGAUUUGGGCGUUCUUUUUAUCGAUGUUCUUAGUUUAACAUAUUCUACGACUUUCGUUUAGAUCACUAAGGCUAAAUCUCGCUCUAUCGUAAAUUCACUAUUCACGCUUCCCGGUAUCGUGCCGGUUCUGUCGUGAAACUUCGACGGGUCAUAACUUCUUCGUUAUAACUCGGAUUUCGGCGUUCCUUAUAUGCACGGAAACCUUGAGACAUAUUCUACAACUUUAUGUAGAGAUAUCGGGAUUAUCUCACACUUUAAUUUUGACGCUCAUUUUUAUUCUUUAUUAAUUAUACAUUUAUAAUUAAAUAAUAAACACAUAUAAUUCACAUAAUACUCAAAUAUUUCAUCUUUAUUACUUCAAAAAGAGUUAUAAGAGUUGACCUAGACUAUUACAUUGACAAAAAUGCUUAGCCCUGAAACCCGGGCGUUACAGGUUUCUAAUAGAAAAUCAUCAUAGAAACAGAAUAGAUCCGAAUUAUACCUCAAUGAACUCUGGAUUAGGUCCUAGAUCCUUGCUCUUCACCUUCUCAUUUGGUCUUUCCUUCCUUCUCUUCUUCAAACUUCAAAGAACAAGCACACAAACACUCAAAUCACAAGGAGAGGGUUAGGGUUUGGUAUAGGAUGCUCUGAGGGUGAAGGAGUCUAGCUUGGGGGCGCAUAACAUGGUUUAAAUAGGGUGCAAACCCUUGAAAUUAGGGUUUCUUCCAGACUGGCGGACUCGCCGAGUCCAGAAUAUGGAUUCGCCGAGUCGCCAACUUAAACGUGCUUAAAUUCCCGCCUCUACUCGGUGAGUCGGGCCUACAACUCGCCGAGUUCAAGGCUAAAAAUGCAAAAUACUUAGAUAAAUCUCACAUACCAGGAACAAGGUGCUACAACUAUUAAAUCUCUUUAUAUUUUUAUUUGUUGGAAGCCUAUACCUUUCUGAUUCAGUUUCAAAAAUUCAAAGUCUUUCGAAACAGGUAUGUUAAUAUUACCUAAUGAUAAUUUAGUCGAAAAAGUUAACAAUUGUUGUGUUUGAAUUAUAUAUGAAGUGAAUGGAGAUAAAGGAGGAAAAGACGAGACAAAUUCAAAACCCACCAGGUUUUACUUUUAGGUAAGCAAUUCUUUUUUCUUGCUUUCUUUAUAGUGACAUACAUUUUUGGUACUUAAUUUUAAUUAUAUAUUUCGGUUUUGGUCCCUAAAGGAAUCGGGUUAUAAUUCAACCCUUUUUUGGAGUUUUUCAAUGAUUUUGAUCCAUAUUUCAUAAGAAAUGAUCAUGUUGCCCUUUAAUUGUUUUUUUACAAAUACUUCUUAUCAUAUAGUGUUUAGCUCAUAAUAACUUCAAUUCCAGAACUUGAAGCUUCUCUAGGAGUAGUAGCAUAGCUAGAGCACAAUAACAUGAUGUGACAAAAGUUCGUUUUAAGGAAUGUCAAGGUUUUGCAUAAUAUGGUGUUGGAGGGUAAUAUUAGAAAAAUAUUGGUUUCUUAAUUUGUAUUUGAUUGGGAGUGGUUUUUUUUUCUUUUGUAGUCACUUGUUGAUGGAUUACAUGCACAUAAGGAUUUUGCUUAUGAUAUCCUUAUGUUGAGUGGUAAGUUCAUUAUUUUUUUUUUCAUUUUUUCUUCUGUGCAUCUCUUAAUAAUGCUAUAAUUUUACAAUGUGUUAAGUUAACACGAAGGUUCUUUGUUGUAUACAUAUAUUUUCCUAUUCAUGAAUGGGAUAAACUUUAGAUAUAUAUCCAAGAAAACAUGAUCACAACGACUUAAUAGUAUAUAUAUGCCAUUUUAGAACUCUUAAACUAAGGUCUUCAAUUUUAAUCAUCAAUCCAUAACUUUCUUUUCUAGACAUGGGUACUUUUAUUAUUCUUAAUACAUGGAAUACAAAUUUAUAUUCAUUCUUUGUAUUAGGAGUAUAAUUGUUUUCUAGAUCAGAUGUAUAACUUUCUAUAAUGUUCUGGUUGAUUUUGGAUUACUCACACGUAAGUUUGUUGGCUUUCCCCCUGUUGGACGAUAUUGCCCCUGUCUCAGUUUCAUUGAAUUCAACCUCUUCCAUUAAGCCGACCCAACUUAACAACCCUCUAGAGCUCCCCAUAAUCUACCAAUAGUUGAAGAUCAAACCUCAAGAACAAGUAGAGGAGUUGUCUGCUUUUAAUUUAUUUUUAUGUUUUAGCUGUUUUUUUAUUGCUUGUAUGUUUCCAAACACUUCUACUUUUUGCAGAGCAACUUAGAGCAGUAGGCUGCAAAAUUUUAUGCAUAAAUUCGGUAUGUCAAAGGAGUUGGAGUAAAAAAAGAGCAGACAUUUAUUAAUUUUUUUGUUGGAAAAUGCUACGUUCAGAUAACAGAGAAUCAAAGUUAGAGGGUUUUGAUUUGUGAAUUCAAUGCAACUCAUUUCUUUAUUUGCUCUUUGUUUUCUGAUUAUAAAGAUGAGGAUUAUGUUUGUUUUUUAUUUUGAUUUUAUUAUUAUUAUUUUGUUUAUUCUCACAAUAAUGUCGAUUAUUAAUGUUUUAAAGAUUUAAAUUAAUGGUUAAUGUUAGUUUUUGAUGACAUUUUUUGUUUUUUUUAUUCUAAGGAGUAAUUUCAAUUAAACAUUUGAAGUUCCUUUACAAUUGAGUUCAUUGGGUUUGAUAAAAAUUGUUUAAAUAUUAUUUUCAAAAUCAUAAUUACAUAUACCAUUUAAUACUAUUGUUUUCCAAAUAACAAAGAACAUGAGAUACAUUUAAAUUGAGUAUUAAUUCUUUAAUAAUUAAAAUAUUGAAUGACAACACUGGAGAUCGGAGAACAUAAACUUAAUUAACACAUAUAUUCACACAUAUGGUAGCAAUUUACUACAUGGAAAUUAAAAUUUAACAAUAAAAUUAAAUUGCAACGUAUGUUUAAUUUAAAAACAAUACAAUAUUAUAAUUUUAAAAACAAUACGACUUAAUAUUCAGAAUUAAAAACUAAUGUCAUUUUUAAAAAGAUAGACAAAAUAUUAAAAUAUUUAAAAUCAUCAAUUUUGACCGAAUUUAUGUUUGUUUUGUUACAAAGCUAACUUAUAUUUGAUUAUAUAAUUUAUUUUUAGAAAACGCUAAAUCUUAAACUCUAAGCCCAAAACCCUAACCUUCAAAUGCGAAUUACAUAAUCUAUACUCUAAAAGAAACUAUUUUGCCGAUACACAUGUUUUUUGUAAUUAACAUGUUUCUAAAACAUACUAUUCAUCUAAAGAGGACUCCUUGCUAAACUAAAACUAACGCCCACCAAAGAUAAACUAAUUUUCAAAAUGAAUUAUUAUCCGACUAAAAGUAUUCACAUCCUAAUCAUAAAUCAUAAACCCUAAACCCUCAAUAAUAAACAAUAAAUGAAACUAUUUUCCAAAAUGUCAUACAAUUAUUUACAUACAUUUAUGAUAUAUUUAAAUGGUGAAUGUUAUUUAUAAAGCAUUUUGUUUUCUUUAGAAUCGAAUAUGUUAUCAUAAAAUAGAAAUGAUCUAUUUUUUACCUAAUGGAUCCAACAUUGGAAAACAUAUAUCCAAUAUAUACAAAAGCGACAAAUACAAUAAUAAAUAUAUUGUUCGUAAAAGAAAAAUUAAUCAUUAAAUUAAAACUAAUCGCCUAUAGAAACUUAUUUUUGAAAAAAAUAAUUCAUCACNNNNNNNNNNNNNNNNNNNNNNNNNNNNNNNNNNNNNNNNNNNNNNNNNNNNNNNNNNNNNNNNNNNNNNNNNNNNNNNNNNNNNNNNNNNNNNNNNNNNNNNNNNNNNNNNNNNNNNNNNNNNNNNNNNNNNNNNNNNNNNNNNNNNNNNNNNNNNNNNNNNNNNNNNNNNNNNNNNNNNNNNNNNNNNNNNNNNNNNNNNNNNNNNNNNNNNNNNNNNNNNNNNNNNNNNNNNNNNNNNNNNNNNNNNNNNNNNNNNNNNNNNNNNNNNNNNNNNNNNNNNNNNNNNNNNNNNNNNNNNNNNNNNNNNNNNNNNNNNNNNNNNNNNNNNNNNNNNNNNNNNNNNNNNNNNNNNNNNNNNNNNNNNNNNNNNNNNNNNNNNNNNNNNNNNNNNNNNNNNNNNNNNNNNNNNNNNNNNNNNNNNNNNNNNNNNNNNNNNNNNNNNNNNNNNNNNNNNNNNNNNNNNNNNNNNNNNNNNNNNNNNNNNNNNNNNNNNNNNNNNNNNNNNNNNNNNNNNNNNNNNNNNNNNNNNNNNNNNNNNNNNNNNNNNNNNNNNNNNNNNNNNNNNNNNNNNNNNNNNNNNNNNNNNNNNNNNNNNNNNNNNNNNNNNNNNNNNNNNNNNNNNNNNNNNNNNNNNNNNNNNNNNNNNNNNNNNNNNNNNNNNNNNNNNNNNNNNNNNNNNNNNNNNNNNNNNNNNNNNNNNNNNNNNNNNNNNNNNNNNNNNNNNNNNNNNNNNNNNNNNNNNNNNNGAACAUAAGUCUCUUUGAGGUUUAUUUUAAUUUUAUUUAUGGAAAAUGAUUUGUCGUUAAGUUUAGAUACGAUACGAAGUAGCUAGACAAUGAAAACCAAGUUUUAUCCGACCACUUGUCUCACUGGUAUGCAGUUAUGUACAAGAAAUUUCAUUAUUAUAACACAUAAAUUUCAUUCCGUUGUUUUAUAUGUCUUAACUUUAACUAAUAACAGACAAAAAUUUAAAAAUUUAAAAAAUACUAUUUUAGUUAAAACGAAACAAUUUAAUCUUAUGGUCAUGAAGAUUAAACCUAAACUGAAACUUUACACGAGAAGUUUUAGGUAAAUUACAUUUUUUUUUGUCCUUGAAAUUUAUUGAUCUUCACAAAUAUUGUUUCUAGAAAACCAUUUUUUUCCCUUUCUAUAGAAUAUUUUGAACAAGAUGUCAAGCAGACUAGAGUGGUGUUCUUCUCCCAAUAUAAUAUCUAGCAUUCGCAAAAUACAAAUAGAUUUUGAAGAAAAAAAAAAGCAAAAAACUUCAAAAAUAACCCACAUCGUUUGUUGUUUUCUUUGGAUGAAGUCCAAAAUAAUUUGAACUUACAAACAUAUUCCUUUUGACAAGGUUUUCUUAUGGAUUUCUUUUUGUUUAACUAUGUUAGCUUUAAGAUGUAAACUUAUUUUCAAUUUACUAUUUUAUCCUUAUUUUAUGUUUUUAACUCAUUGUAUUAUCUUUUUAAACUCAUACCCACCUUUUCCAUCCUUUGCUAAAACUUUAAAAACCUUUGUCAUAUCCUCCUCUGAUCAAAUCUAUGUCAUCAUCCUUUGCUGCAGUGGUGGUGUUAUAAACUCGUUGGUCCUUCAACUCUUGUUCAAGCUCCACAAUGACUAGAUAGUGACACACUAAACACCCUAAUCAAAUCCUUAACCUUCAUGACCACCGACACCGGUGAUGAGUCUAGAAUGGAAACCUACGUGGUUCACAAUUUAAAUGAAAUUGAUAUAUAAAAAUAUAAUAAUAAUAAAAUACUAAUAGCAGGUUAUGUCAUACAAGCAAAUAAAAAAAAAAAUUCUUACAAUUAUAACGAAGUCUAAUAUCUUGAAAUAUUUCACAAUUGCAUCAUCACUAAUACUAUCUAAACUAUUUUUCUAUAUAUCACACUAAACGAUUAAUCUAAAAAUUAAUCAUUCUCUUUUCAAUAUGUGACACAAAUAUCACUUAGAAGUUCUAUUGUGUUAUUUCUUAAUGAGUAAUUAAGUAUUUAGGCUAUUAAGAAAUAAAAAUUGAAUUUAAAAGUCUUGAUUUAUGUUAAUUUCUAUAUCAAACAAAUUAAGAUAGGCCACUAGUAAAAAUUUAGAUAGGUCACAAAUAUAUUAUACAUAUUACCUAUAAUAAAUAAAAAGAUAGGUGGAUUAAGUGACCCACCUAGAUAGUAUGUAUACUCGCCAAUGAUCGACACACACCCACCUUAACCCCUCGUCUAAAUUAAAAAAUCGACAACCCCUUCCUACCGUUACCGGCAAGCCAUUUUCUACGGACACUUUGGAUAUUUUAUUAGAACAAUCCCAAAAUAACAUAUACCAAACCUUAUGAUAUGGUUGCUUUUAAUAUUUCAUCCUUUUAAUCUCCCAAUCAAAACAAUCCAAAUUGUUAAAUACGACUAUGCAUAAUGACAUAUAAACGAAUUUUUAUCUCCAGUGGAGGAGGGUUGGAUCUUUAUCGUUUGCCAGAAACAUAGAUUGGGGCAAAGACGUGUUAGAAACUUGGGUAGAGUUUAUAGUGGAGAUCUGGAUACCCUUCGAUCGUAUAAACACUUUCUGAACUGAUAUUUCUAUCCUACGUCCGGGUUACAAGAAAUUCAGCCUACAAUAAUCCCAAGGGGACACUUGCGUAUCUAGGUAUAGAAAACGUAAGCCAAAUUGCUAGACUUCUGAGUUCGUAUGAAGAAAAAUGAGAGCCAAAAAAAUCCCCUUCAAAGAGGAGAGUCGUUUAUAUAUAAAACAAGCUAUAGGGUUUCGUUUUUAGGGUUAGGCAUCAUCAGUUUCUAUGGAAACAAAUCAAGGAAAUACGGAAUUAAUGUGGAAAUCAAUGGUUUCCAAAACUGAAGAUUUUAUCGUUGGAAACAAAUCAAAGGAAUCUAUAAUUAAUGAGGAAAUCAAUAGUUUUCAAAACUGAAGAUCUUAGUCAGUUUUACCAUAAUCACCCUCCAAAAAUUCCAUUUUUCCACUAUGUAUCCUUUAAUAAAAUCCGAAGACCUGUUUGAGCGCUGCCUAUAACCCCGCGGGGGCGCUGCCCCUUUGGAAACCCCGAACCCAGGGGCGCUGGCCCCAAACCCCCAACUUGUCGUCGAAUCGGUUUCUAAUUCGAUCUUAUACAUGCAUGCACUCCGUACACACCCAAACAUAUAUUAUAGUACAAAUUACAAAGCCCCUUAGCUCACAUGUAAGUUCCAAUUACACAAAAUGUCCCGGUGACACUAAAAUCACCAACAAUCCUCCCCCAUUUUAGUGUAACCCUUGAACAAACAUAACAUUAUCAAAACAAAACCAAACUAGUACAUAAAUAAAAAUGUCGCAAUGAUUGAAUUUCCACUUAGUAUCAUACUCUUACAAAUACUCGAGAAUUAGGUGUUGAAACAUGACAAGUGAACCUCUAGCAAUCACAAGUAAUAAAGACCCGAAGUCAGCUGAGUCCGAGAUUUGUGAUGUUCGAGAUAGAGAUGAAGUACGAGAUGGAGAUCAUGUUGGGUUUGAGCAUUCUAACACUCAUAUGGUGUACAUGCAAACCUAAAUACCUUGGAUCUAUGUUUUCUCCAUUAUACAUGCAAAUAUCAAUUUCCAAGGUAUUUAUCCUAACUAGCAUAUUAUGAAGUACAAGUAAUAUAAAAUCUAGUAGAAUUACAUACCUCUUUGUUGGUGAUUGAUUCCAUGUAGCUUGAGAGCCUAGUGCCCCAAGUGUGACACCUCAAAUGGUUCACACAACAUCAAAUGCUUUUGGAAUAACUUAGAGAGAAAUUAGAACACUUUAAAAAUCGGUUUGCCCUCACUUGUUUCACUAGUGGCCGAUUUCUUCAAUAAUAAGAUCAUUAUAUAGUUAGUUACAAUUAGGGUAAACCCUAAUUGUUAUAGCUUUCCAUUUCCUUGGAUCCAUGGGUUCAAAUACACCAUGGAGCAUCCUAUGGGUUUUAACCUAACUUGGUAAUCCAUGGAGCAUUAGCCCACUAUAUAAGUAUGGAUGAUUUACACAAUCAACCCAUAUAUUUUAAUUAGUCUUCUUUUGAUCACUUAAUUAAUUUUAGAUUAAUUCUUGAUCAAUACUAAUUAAAUAAUCUUAUUAAUAUAUUAGAACUUAUAAUAUAUUAAUAAACCUUAAGUGUUAUUUCUCUCAUUUUAGUUUAUCCAAAUGCAUGAUGCCAUGUAACCCAAAUGGACCAUGCCGGGUCGGGUCAAGUCUUACUAAUUAUAGUUAUGGACUUAGACAUUAAUCCAACAGAUCAUUCCGAUAUGAUGGGCAGUUCUAAGAUUAGCUGUCUGUUCAAACAUUUAAUGUUUCUUGUCUUAAUACUAGCGUAACGUUUCAUAGGACUUUUUCUUUAUGUAUCUUUUAGAUAAUCAGGGUGUCAGUGACUUAUUAUUAUCUAGUCCUACGAAUGUUUCCCAGUUUGUACGAUGUUCCACCUUAGUCUAUUUAAGGAGUGAUUUGAAUGACAAAAAUACGUAUGUUGUUACUCCACAGAUAGCAAAAAUUCUCUUUAUUUAACUUUCACUUUUCUCUCAAGUCAAGAUAUUUCACAACAUGCUUCUUGUUCAUUAAAUGUCUUUGCAUUGAUUAUACUACUAGUUUACUUCAUUUAAUAUUGAGUACCUUGUUGAAUCUUUUCUUCAAGUCUUGACUGUUAUUACCAGACUUGACUGGAACCAUUAAUUAAGAGCAGACAUUGAUCUUAAAGAUUAACUCAAGGUUUCAGUUUUUAAACUGUAUCCUUGCACAUUGAUUCUUGUACUCACAUCAGGGUGUUCUAAGAAUUAAACCCACCAACCCAUUUGAAUACCAGAAAGUAAAAUACAUACUAGUUUAUUGAAGUUUCUAGUGUGAUAUCCCCAAAAUCACGGCCAGAAAAGACCGAUUUUGUUUAUGCUUUAUAAAAAUCAGAGUACUACAUUUUAUAAAAAUGUUGCGGAAUUUGUUCCCAGAAAAACAUGGUAAAUACGUUAUUAAAACAUUUUCGAAGAAACGUAUUCAUUUCAUUUUAAAACGUUUGGGAUGUCAUCGUUAAUAUAGAAACAUAAGCAUAAACAGAACUUACAAUUAUUUACACUAGUGAUCUACAUCUCUUUAAAUCUCUCAGUGUAAUGUCACUUCAUAUCAACACCUGUGAUAUAAAUAAACUGAGUGGGUCAGGUUGGGAAACCUGGUGAGCACAUAGGGUUUUCAACCCACAAUAAUAUAGUUAUUAUUUUUAAACAUCAAGCAAUCAACCCAAUUACCCAUUCCCGUUAUCCUCACAUUACGUCCCUAAAACAUCUAACACAAGGGACUUAGUCAAAGGACUAUCAUUGGGAUGGAGUGUACCUGGUGAGCACACAGUUCACACAGUUCGAAUAAACACACAGUUCGAAUAAACACACAGUUCGAAUAAACACCUACAGGUUGCGAGCCUGCUAGUGUUCCACUGGACUGUCUAGAAUAGUCCGUGGUCGUCAUCUAUACUCCGCUAGAUGACUAGAUCAUCAAGAACAGCUAUAACGAGGCCUCUCAUUAUUUUAUUUUGUCACACAGCAACUAUUACAUCUACCCAUGUUUUACCCAACACAUUUUGUAGAUAUAAAAUACAUAUACAGUUUAAAUCAUUGAAAACAUGUAUAAAACGUUCAUCCGGCAUAGAUAGCAAGUAUUCAGAUAAUAUGCACACAUAGCACGUAAUUUAUAUAAAAUACUUCAUAUCUAUGUGUAAGCUGAAAGUAACUAUGCACUCACCUGAAAAGGUGGUGACUCGGCACUCAGACAGCGCUUCGAUACUCUCAAAACAAUUUUCCUUCGAUAAAACCUAGUAUCAAUACCACUAGGGUUUAGUCUAACGAUAACCGCGACAAAUUAAUAGUCUGACUAUUAUUAUUAUUAUAUAAGCGUUAAAUAACACUCAAUAUAACUCAUAAUAAUAGCCCAAAUAAUUAUUUUAAGGACCUAAUAACAUUACUAUAAUUAUUUGAAAGCUAUAUUAAAAAUUGCGUAAGCGUAGCACACUUACAGCGAAUUUUAUCGAAAACCGGAACUUAAUUGGAGCAGCGUUUCGAAACCGAAAAACUCCUUUUUCUCGGGACUCCGGGAGCCUCGGGGCUUCCCUAGGGUGCUAGGGGUUUAACUAGGGCUUAGGGGAGGUUUGGAACUCUAGAGAGAGAAAGAAACUAGAGAGAGAAGUGGAAAUUGUGUGAAAAAUGUGAAGGCCCUCGCCCCUUUUUAUACCCUGCGAGGCCUCGGACUACGCUGGGCGUAAUCCUUGGCUACGCGGGGCGUAACUUCGGAUGGGGCUGCCACAUCGAAUCUAGCUGUCUCGCACUCGGAAGGGAUAAGACCGAAGGGUACGCUGGGCGUACCGAACUCGGACGCGGGGCGUAAGGCGAGGCUUCGUGGCAUGAUCCGAAGCGAGAUCUGAAUCAUCAUCCGACGGCCCACAACGUGCCACGUCAUCAAUCCUCAUCAGCCUUCGCAAAUUCGAUUAUAAACUUUAAAAAUUCGUAACUUUCGCGUACGAGCUCCGUUUUCGACGUUCUUUAUAUCCACGCGAAGGUGGGAACGUACUCUACAACUUUCGUUUAGACUUCGUCGGCUAAUUUUGGCUCGAUUUUAAAUUUUAUAUUAUUAACGGGCCGGGACACGAUUGGUCCGUUAAAUCCUCAUAACUUCUUCAUCCGACAUCCGUUUUCGCCCAUCUUUUUCUCGUUACGCUACUCUCAACGAGAUCUUCGAUUCUCGUUUAGGUCGUGUCGGCUAAAAACCGCUCGAUCUAAUAUUCGAAUUUCGGGCUGUACACUGCUAGUCCGAAACUUCGAAAAAUCAUAACUUCUUCAUACGAAGUCAGAUUUGGGCGUUCUUUUUAUCGAUGUUCUUAGUUUAACAUAUUCUACGACUUUCGUUUAGAUCGCUAAGGCUAAAUCUCGCUCUAUCGUAAAUUCACUAUUUACGCUUCCCGGUGUCGUGCCGGUUUUGCCGUAAAACUUCGACGGGCCAUAACUUCUUCGUUAUAACUCGGAUUUCGGCGUUCCUUAUAUGUACGGAAACCUUGUGACAUACUCUACAACUUGGUUAAGAUUAUUUAUUCUAAAUAAUCUUUUGUCGAAAAGUCGUUUUCGACCCCUAUUGCCUCUAAUUUGACUAGCCCAGAUUUGCGGGCGUUACAAUUAUCUCCCCCUUAGGAUGAUUACGUCCCGGAAUCAUCAACGAAACAGGGUCGUAUAAUGACUCCAUACGUCAUCUCUUCAUCCUAGGUAAUAAUUAUAACUUCUACAUUCCUUCAAGACUAUCUCUCAGACUUAUUGACUGUAUGCAGUACUCGAUCGUGCACCUGCUCUCUACCUCAGGCUAGACUCCCAAUUAUGACCUUCAAGUCACAAUAUCGAUCCUUACUGGAUACGAACUUGAGAUGAUUUCUUUUAUUACUACGAUGGAUCGACGUGUCAUAUUCUAAUGACCUAUCAUCGUAUCUUGCAACACUUAGACUUAGGUCUCUUAGAGUUAAAUUCUAAAACAGACUAUGCCUUCCUUCAUGUUCUAAUGUGAUAUAAUCACACUUUAACAUUAGGCAUUUCUAGCCACCAACUUCUUUAACAACGAGUGCGAUNUUCUAUUGAUCGCUUUGAUUUCAAUCGUUUGGUUUAAGUCGGACGCUACAUCAAACUUGGUUCUCUGAACCACGUAACCUACUCAUCGUAGUCGGACUCAAUGGGAUAUGACCACUAGGGUCAAGAUAACAACAGUCUUCUUAGUCAUUACCGAAACAAUGGUAACGACAUACUUGAAUAAAAUGAAAUCAAUUACUGGCUUCUUGGUAACCUUGUGACUUUCCCUGAUCCAAGUGUGAGUCCUGUGCUUCCGGUAGUAUAGGCCUCUACUACCAUUCACACCUACUCAUACUCGUCCCAAGUAUUGUCUCGCAGUUUCCCAAGUCACCAUGNAAAAACUUAACACAUAAAAUAUCAAAACGAAGGUUUUAUAUUAUUCCUUGAAACGAUUAAAUGGGUGUUCAAGUUCACCCUAGAUUAUGCCUCUAAUAGGCUACACCAUAUGACACUAUCUACAUGGCUUCUUCAUAACUUGAUUUCCACGUAUCCAUCCUCACUCCUGAUUCCUUGCAUCGUCAGCUACUUCGUUUAGGAUCAUAUGGAAUGCCCUUGCCUUUGGUUUCGGCGGAAUGUUUGGUUUUGUAGCCCCUUCUCUCUUUGGGCAGUCUUGCUUGAAGUGUCCUUCUUCACCACACUUAAAGCAGACUUCUCUCUUAGUUGUGCAUUUGCUGGCGUAAUGAGCAGUCUUUCCGCAUUUAAAGCAGGUCAUCUCUUUAGAGCAUUUCCCGAUGUGCUUCUUUCUGCACUUGUCACACCAUCGCAUUCCUUCUUCAAACUUCGAGAAUUUUCUCUUCUCGCUGGAUCUUGAAGAUCCUUCAAACUUUCUCUUCUCGUCAACCUCCAUCUUGCUGGCGGCUCUUCCUUUGAUCAUAUCCUCAACAGACUUGGCAGCCCAGAUAGCUGCCUCCAGAGUAGGUGCUUGACGCACUGGCACCGCGUACUCCCAUGGAAGUCCUAUUGUGUACUUGUCGAUUUUCGUUAGCUCAUCCGAAACAAGACGCAAGGCAAACUCCAUCUUUUCUGUGAAGUUGUUCAUGUAUCCAUCGAUUGACAUGUUUCCCUUCUUCAGGGUUAGAAACUGGUUUUCUAACUCGAGCAGGUUUUGAGCUGAGCAGUACUUUCGUUUGAAUUGCACCAGAAAUUCUGCCCAUGUCAGUUGCAGGGGCUUGUUGGGGCUCAGAGUCUUCCCCAAGGUGUUUCACCAACGUACAGCGCCUCCUCGAAACUGACGCACUGCAAAUGUGGUAUGUAGCUUCCCUCUACAACCGCAUGUCAUGAAAGCUAACUCCAUCUCCGAGAUCCAAUCCAUGACCCUGAUUGGAUCUUCCUUUCCCGUGAAAGUUGAUGGCUUGCAAGUCAGAAAGUCCUUGUACUUGCAUCCAUUUCUCUCAACUUCGUCAUCGUGGUUGUUUUGUCGAACUAUUGGUGGGUUGACUUGACCAACAGUCCCACUGUAGUUCUCCUCCUCAGUCUGCCCUUCAUUCAACUCGGGCCGUUCGAUCUGAAUAGUCGCUUCCUCUCGAUUUUGCUGGAGCAAACGUCUGGUUUCCUCCAUUUGACGAUCCAACAUCGCCUGGAUCAUUGCUUGCACUCCGACCAUCAUUAUUGGCUCAGCAGCGGCUACCACAACCGGUAUUUUCUCAAUCACUGGGGGUUGGUUUCGGUUCCCAUUUGCAUUCACGUUUCCACUACGGGUUCUUGCCAUCUUGAUCUAUACACCAAAUAGGGUGAAUCUAGAUCUUUACUUAGGAUUGACGGUUAAAUCAUCCUUAUCACUCCGAAACGUUUAUAUGCUAGUUCUAAUAUCAUAGUCGUACGUUUAGAAUCCUAAACACAUAAGGUUUCCAGAUCCGGUCGGCAACAGACCAUAGAUCCGAACAACUAACAGCAUAUCAGGCACAAGUAUUUAGCACAUAAAAGCAUUUUAGGCAUAAUUCCUAAAAUAAUCUAGUGCUCACACCUCACAAUCAUCGCUUAGCAUUCUAAGUUUAAGUCUAGAAAUAAAUCCAUAUUCCUAGUUCGCUUAAACUAAUGCUCUGAUACCAACUGUGACAUCCCCAAAAUCACGGCCAGAAAAGACCGAUUUUGUUUAUGCUUUAUAAAAAUCAGAGUACUUCAUUUUAUAAAAAUGUUGCGGAAUUUGUUCCCAGAAAAACAUGGUAAAUACGUUAUUAAAACAUUUUCGAAGAAACGUAUUUAUUUCAUUUUAAAACGUUUGGGAUGUCAUCGUUAAUACAGAAACAUAAGCAUAAACAGAAC